rnacentral:rRNA from 1 species
UACGGGGGGGGCAAGCGUUGUUCGGAAUUACUGGGCGUAAAGGGCUCGUAGGUGGCCAACUCAGUCAGACGUGAAAUCCCUCGGCUUAACCGGGGAACUGCGUCUGAUACUGGAUGGCUUGAGUUCGGGAGAGGGAUGCGGAAUUCCAGGUGUAGCGGUGAAAUGCGUAGAUAUGACAUAGAACACCGAUAGCGUAGGCAGCUUGCUACACGAAUAUUGACACUGAGGCACGAAAGCGUGGGGAUCAAACAGG